GAUAAGUCCUUUCAUCUGAUUGGUUGGUUGGGGUAUGAUUGGCAGACCAAUGAGGUGGUAGCAGCCGUACUAUUUUAGGACCUUUAUUUUGACGGGGGGGAUACGUUCCUGCUGACUUGGGGUUCUCUCUCUCCCUGGCACUUCCUCUUCCGUUCCCAUUCCUAUCCAGUUUAAUUUAGAGUGGGGCUGGUGUCGUUGGCGUUGCGGGAAGUCGUGGCAGAGUUCGCUUGCAGCGACGAGGGCAGGUGGGUGAAUGCUGGCUGGUAGACUGAGUUGCCUCACCGGUAGUGAGUAGCCAUACAGCUGUGCGUCUAGUGUUGGUUCAACAUAACUCGUGAGUAUGCCUCUCCUGUUUUUCACAUUUGGGGUUUUGUAAAUUUAGAUUAAUUCUGGUACUCUGGUUUAAAGGUAAAGGGGAAAGAUCAAGAUUUUCAAGCCCUGUUCCUAGCAAGGACUUCUUGCGACGACGACGCUGCUGUUUUGCUUAUGGAUAUAUUUUGUUUUCUUUAUUUUUUUGAUCGUGUCGUUUACAGUCAGCUGUGCGGUUACGGUUUUGCUGCUCCGCGAGUCGCUGGGGCUGUUAACGCUAGCGUCUGAGCAUUGUGCCGGCAGGUUUUUUUUUUACUAGUUUCAUUUCUUUGAUUUAAUUUUCUUUGUCAACAGAGUCAAUUUUUUGCUAUACUUAUUGGAUUAGUUU